rnacentral:rRNA from 1 species
AUUGAACGCUGGCGGCAUGCCUUACACAUGCAAGUCGAACGGCAGCACGGGAGCAAUCCUGGUGGCGAGUGGCGAACGGGUGAGUAAUAUAUCGGAACGUGCCCAGUCGUGGGGGAUAACGCAGCGAAAGCUGUGCUAAUACCGCAUACGAUCUAAGGAUGAAAGCGGGGGAUCGCAAGACCUCGCGCGAUUGGAGCGGCCGAUAUCAGAUUAGCUAGUUGGUGGGGUAAAGGCCCACCAAGGCGACGAUCUGUAGCUGGUCUGAGAGGACGACCAGCCCCACUGGAACUGAGACACGGCCCAGACUCCUACGGGAGGCAGCAGUGGGGAAUUUUGGACAAUGGGCGCAAGCCUGAUCCAGCAAUGCCGCGUGCAGGAUGAAGGCCUUCGGGUUGUAAACUGCUUUUGUACGGAACGAAACAGCCCUUUCUAAUACAGGGGGCUAAUGACGGUACCGUAAGAAUAAGCACCGGCUAACUACGUGCCAGCCGCCGCAGUAAAAC